UAAGCGCUAGAGCAAACCUGUUGAAAAACUGGGACGCAAAGUUAUGGGCCUAAAGCUUUUGCAAAGCUACGGUUGCCAGGCUGCUUAU
rnacentral:ncRNA from 1 species